rnacentral:ncRNA from 1 species
UCUUAUCAAGAGCGGUGGAGGGACUGGCCCUAUGAAACCCAGCAACCAAUAUUUAUAGAAGUAUAUGGUGCUAAUUCCUGUAGUGAAAACUAAUAGAUAAG